UACGGAGGGUGCGAGCGUUGUCCGGAAUCAUUGGGCGUAAAGGGUGCGUAGGUGGGCAGGUAAGUCAGUGGUGAAAUCUCCGGGCUUAACCCGGAAACUGCCAUUGAUACUAUCUGUCUUGAAUACCGUGGAGGUGAGCGGAAUAUGUCAUGUAGCGGUGAAAUGCUUAGAUAUGACAUAGAACACCAAUUGCGAAGGCAGCUCACUACGCGAAUAUUGACACUGAGGCACGAAAGCGUGGGGAUCAAACAGG
rnacentral:rRNA from 1 species